rnacentral:rRNA from 1 species
CCGUGAGGGAAAGAUGAAAAGGACUUUGGAAAGAGAGUUAAAAAGUACGUGAAACCGUUAAAAGGGAAACGAAUGGAGCUAGCAAUGCACCCAGUGAGAUUCAGCCGGUUGGUGGCUGGGGCGCGCUGUUUGCAGAUCUGAAUUGACUGUGGCAGUGCGGUUCGAGCUCCCUGCCGUCGCACUUCUCGCGGGCGCGCGUCAACAUGGGUUGGGACCGGGUCUAAAAGGCACCGGCAAGGUAGGUCCGUACCUCCGGGUACGUACUGUUCUAGGCCGACGUUCUCGCGGCCCGGACCCGACUGAGGCGAUGCAGCACAUGCCUCUUGUGGCUGGGGUCCCGUUCUUCCGGUUGGUUGUCGACUGUGGUGGACUGCGUGCAGUGCACCGCGACCGCUGCCGGUCGCUUGGGCGGUGACUUCGCAUGAUGUGCUUAGGAUGUUGGCGGUCAUAUGGCUUCAUCCGACCCGUCUUGAAACACGGACCAAGGAGUCUACCAUAUGCGCGAGUCUUUGGGUGAUUGAAACCCGCGGGCACAAUGAAAGUGAAGGCGGCUCCGGCCUGCCGAGGUGAGAACCUCCCCUCUCGGGGUGGCGCAUCAUCGACCGACCUAUUCUACUCUUAGGAAGGUUUGAGUAAGAGCGCAUUUGUUGGGACCCGAAAGAUGGUGAACUAUGCCUGAAUAGGGUGAAGCCAGAGG